ACAGCUUCCUGUCCGAGGGAUGAGUGGCUGCAGGCGGGUUGGGGGCUCUAGAGCCCUUUUUCAGAGGGUGAGGAGCAAGCUCUGCUAGAGACGACUCCCCAGGGCCACAGCUGAUGCACAGAUAGGACUCAAGACAAGAAGUUGAAAUGGAACAAGAUGAGCACGGAUGACGGGGCUCCUGGGCCUUUCUCUCUGGAGUCCCCACCCCUCAGGCAGGGACAGCACAGGCAGGAUGGGGGUGUCAGGCGGCUCCCAGGGCGACAGCACAGAUGGCACAUGGACAUGAAGGCACAGUAGGCACAGGACUGUGCUCUGGCAAAGCUGCGUUCAGACUCUUGAGCCGUUACCUGGAGUGGAGUCACCUCUGGCACAGCUGCGUCCACAGGAGCCCAGGCAGCCAGGAGCAACCCUGGGGCGGGCAGGCAGGGCUCUGUCCGGCUGCCCAGGAAGACGCACAGGGCGGGGGCAGAGCCCUAAGCUUUCCUGAGGACUGUGUGUUUUCUAAGAACCUGAAACACUUUUUGGACUGUGAGUUUUUAAUAAAGUAUGCGGAAGAGACUGA